rnacentral:rRNA from 1 species
UACAGUGGUCUCAAGCGUUGUUCGGAUUCAUUGGGCGUAAAGGGUGCGUAGGUGGCGCCGUAAGUCAGGUGUGAAAUCUCGGGGCUUAACUCCGAAACUGCAUUUGAUACUGCGGUGCUUGAGGACUGGAGAGGAGACUGGAAUUUACGGUGUAGCAGUGAAAUGCGUAGAGAUCGUAAGGAAGACCAGUGGCGAAGGCGGGUCUCUGGACAGUUCCUGACACUGAGGCACGAAGGCCAGGGGAGCAAACGGG